rnacentral:rRNA from 1 species
AAAUUGAAGAGUUUGAUCAUGGCUCAGAUUGAACGCUGGCGGCAGGCCUAACACAUGCAAGUCGAACGGUAACAGGAAGCAGCUUGCUGCUUUGCUGACGAGUGGCGGACGGGUGAGUAAUGUCUGGGAAACUGCCUGAUGGAGGGGGAUAACUACUGGAAACGGUGGCUAAUACCGCAUAACGUCGCAAGACCAAAGAGGGGGACCUUCGGGCCUCUUGCCAUCAGAUGUGCCCAGAUGGGAUUAGCUUGUUGGUGAGGUAACGGCUCACCAAGGCGACGAUCCCUAGCUGGUCUGAGAGGAUGACCAGCCACACUGGAACUGAGACACGGUCCAGACUCCUACGGGAGGCAGCAGUGGGGAAUAUUGCACAAUGGGCGCAAGCCUGAUGCAGCCAUGCCGCGUGUAUGAAGAAGGCCUUCGGGUUGUAAAGUACUUUCAGCGGGAGGAAGGUGUUGUGGUUAAUAACCGCAGCAAUUGACGUUACCCGCAGAAGAAGCACCGGCUAACUCCGUGCCAGCAGCCGCGGUAAUACGGAGGGUGCAAGCGUUAAUCGGAAUUACUGGGCGUAAAGCGCACGCAGGCGGUCUGUCAAGUCGGAUGUGAAAUCCCCGGGCUCAACCUGGGAACUGCAUUCGAAACUGGCAGGCUUGAGUCUUGUAGAGGGGGGUAGAAUUCCAGGUGUAGCGGUGAAAUGCGUAGAGAUCUGGAGGAAUACCGGUGGCGAAGGCGGCCCCCUGGACAAAGACUGACGCUCAGGUGCGAAAGCGUGGGGAGCAAACAGGAUUAGAUACCCUGGUAGUCCACGCCGUAAACGAUGUCUACUUGGAGGUUGUGCCCUUGAGGCGUGGCUUCCGGAGCUAACGCGUUAAGUAGACCGCCUGGGGAGUACGGCCGCAAGGUUAAAACUCAAAUGAAUUGACGGGGGCCCGCACAAGCGGUGGAGUAUGUGGUUUAAUUCGAUGCAACGCGAAGAACCUUACCUGGUCUUGACAUCCACAGAAGAAUCCAGAGAUGGAUUUGUGCCUUCGGGAACUGUGAGACAGGUGCUGCAUGGCUGUCGUCAGCUCGUGUUGUGAAAUGUUGGGUUAAGUCCCGCAACGAGCGCAACCCUUAUCCUUUGUUGCCAGCGAUUAGGUCGGGAACUCAAAGGAGACUGCCAGUGAUAAACUGGAGGAAGGUGGGGAUGACGUCAAGUCAUCAUGGCCCUUACGACCAGGGCUACACACGUGCUACAAUGGCGCAUACAAAGAGAAGCGACCUCGCGAGAGCAAGCGGACCUCAUAAAGUGCGUCGUAGUCCGGAUUGGAGUCUGCAACUCGACUCCAUGAAGUCGGAAUCGCUAGUAAUCGUGGAUCAGAAUGCCACGGUGAAUACGUUCCCGGGCCUUGUACACACCGCCCGUCACACCAUGGGAGUGGGUUGCAAAAGAAGUAGGUAGCUUAACCUUCGGGAGGGCGCUUACCACUUUGUGAUUCAUGACUGGGGUGAAGUCGUAACAAGGUAACCGUAGGGGAACCUGCGGUUGGAUCACCUCCUUA